AUUGAACGCUGGCGGCAGGCUUAACACAUGCAAGUCGAGCGGAGAUGAGGUGCUUGCACCUUAUCUUAGCGGCGGACGGGUGAGUAAUGCUUAGGAAUCUGCCUAUUAGUGGGGGACAACAUUCCGAAAGGAAUGCUAAUACCGCAUACGUCCUACGGGAGAAAGCAGGGGACCUUCGGACCUUGCGCUAAUAGAUGAGCCUAAGUCGGAUUAGCUAGUUGGUGGGGUAAAGGCCUACCAAGGCGACGAUCUGUAGCGGGUCUGAGAGGAUGAUCCACCACACUGGGACUGAGACACGGCCCAGACUCCUACGGGAGGUAGCAGUGGGGAAUAUUGGACAAUGGGGGGAACCCUGAUCCAGCCAUGCCGCGUGUGUGAAGAAGGCCUUAUGGUUGUAAAGCACUUUAAGCGAGGAGGAGGCUACUGAGACUAAUACUCUUGGAUAGUGGACGUUACUCGCAGAAUAAGCACCGGCUAACUCUGUGCCAGCCGCCGCGGUAAAAC
rnacentral:rRNA from 1 species